CGAACGAUUUUAAUAACAGCAGAAUAAACAUUUUCGCCGGUUCUUCCGUAAACAGCCGCCUGUCAAGAGAUCAAUUUAGCUUGAGAUUGUACGCAAGAAAGAGAUCGAUUUUCUACAGCUUUCUCGUUGCAGAAAAUAAUUAUUAUAUAAAAAAAAAAAAAAAAAAAAAAGCAAAAGAGAAGGACAAAAUAAGUGAUUGAGAGAACGCAUCUUAAGUUUGGUAAGAGAUUGACUUUCAUCUGUACUCUCCACAAGAGAGAAUUAAUUAAAUUUUAACUACUAUCAAAAGCGUACACUCAACGAUUUCCCUUGACUUGAGCUGUUGUUAAUUACAAGAGCAGCAGCAAUAAAUUGUGAUAAUGUUCCGUUUGUUCGGCAAAUGUGAUAGAGUCGUUCAAGUUUCUGCGCUUCUACAAAUAUAUUGAACGUUGACUUAAUACAUAUUCUCCCAUCAUAGCCAGCAUUGAAUGCCGGAGUCAGUCAACUAAAGAUUUAGGUGACGCAAAAUAAUUUUACGAAUUUGUGGAUUUUUUUAAAAUAACUAGACUAAAUGACAUUUAACUAAAGCUAAAGAUUUAUACAUAUACCUCAAGAGACCGAAUUGUGUCUCAGGUCAAGAAUUCCAAGCAAAUGCCUCUCGAUGAGAUUAUGCGAAUAUACUUCUACUACUUAACUCUUUUUGAAAAGUUUAAAUUUUUGUUUUUUUUUUGUUGUUGUUGUUGCUACUACUAUUGCUGCUGCUGCUGCUGCUGCUGCUGUUAUAAUUUAUUUAUAGUAGAGAUGCUUUGACAGUGGAAUUUCAAAUACCGGAUAAAAAGAUAUAUUUUUAAGAAAAAUUCUGUCGUCAUCAACAAGAUUUUUGCAACAGCUGCUUUUAUAAUUGUGCUUGUUGUUGUUGUUGUUGUUGUUAGUAUUUUUGUUGCGGCUGAACAAUAAGAACUUCCGGUUCUUAUUUAAAGCACGCGCAUGUCUCGUCAGCAAUCAUGGAAAAGAAGAAGAAUAAAAAAAAAAAAAAGAAAGAAAGAAACAAAAAAAUCUCUGUAAACUUAACUCAAUAGUUUUGGAGAAGUCAUGCGCGUUGCUUAAAAACGAGACUCUAAAAUGCCGGCUUUCGAAAACGAACAAUUAUGCUGUUGCACGAGUUUAAUUUUUUGCUUAUAUUUUUUUAAAAUUUCCUUCUUUUUUUUUUUCUUUCUUUCAUUCUUUUUAAAUAAUUAUGAGAUGUUAUGAGCAAGAGUGCAGUCAAUGUCUGCACACACUGCACGUAAAGCACAACGCAAGUCUCCACAUUAUGCAGACACUUGCUGUGUUAGUGUUAUACAGUAUUCGGCAUAUAAACGGCGGUAAACCUUAGUCAAUGUAAAAUCUCGAUUACCAUUCGCAUAACGAUUGUCAAGACAAAUUGAACACGCAACUCGCAACCAACGCGAAAAACAAAAAAAAAAAAAAAAAACAAAAAAAAAAAAUUCUGCUCUUUUUAUCUCCAUUUCAAACCGUGUGUGUCACUGUGAGUGUGUGUGUGUGUGUGUCUGUGUUUGCAUGCUGUGUUUGCCAUAUUGAAACUAGUAGCAAAAAAAAAAAAAACAAAAAAGAAAAAAAAAGGAAAACAAAUUUACAACAGCCAUCAAAAGUUAGUAGUUGAUAGGCAGUCACACAAUACAAGAGGUAACCAGCGUUUACCAGCUUAUACGCGUUAACGGUAUUAUUAUUCUCAUAGUUAUUCAUUAUUAUUAUUACUACUGCUAUUGUUAACGUCAGUAUUAACAACGAGUUAAGUAAAAGUGAGCAAUUGAAAGAGUUAAACUAACUAUAAAAUCAACCGAACUAAAUUUCUAUUUGCUACCUUUACUGUCAGUAUUUAACCUAACAGGCUGCCGCUAACUCAUUGACUUACUGGCUAGCUAUGCACCUAGCUCGCUGACUGGAGUAACAAAAUAAUAAAUUGUAAGCCGGAAGUAAAUGCCAUAUUCAUUAACUAACAACGUAUACACGUGUAGUUAUAUGUUUUUAUCGAAAAUGUGCUUCGAUAUGGUCUAACACAUAAAAUAGUUUAAAGCGGAAAAGAAAAUAAGACACUUGAAAUUUGUUAUUAUUACAAAUGUUGUUGUAUUAGUUAACUAGGAGAAAACCAUGCCUAAAGAGAGAGCAAUUAUUUUCUAAAAUUUAUUACGAGUAAAAGAAACAAAAA